rnacentral:rRNA from 1 species
AUCACCUUUCUCGAUGGUCGGGCUGAUCCAGCCAUGCCGCGUGCAGGAUGACUGCCCUAUGGGUUGUAAACUGUUUAUACGGGAAGAAACGCACCUACGUGUAGGCGUCUGACGGUACCGUAAGAAUAAGGACCGGCUAACUCCGUGCCAGCAGCCGCGGUAAUACGGAGGGUCCGAGCGUUAUCCGGAAUCAUUGGGUUUAAAGGGUCCGUAGGCGGGCCGUUAAGUCAGGGGUGAAAGUCUGCGGCUCAACCGUAGAAUUGCCUUUGAUACUGGCGGUCUUGAGUCGUUGUGGAGUUGCCGGAACAUGUGGUGUAGCGGUGAAAUGCAUAGAUAUCACAUAGAACACCGAUCGCGAAGGCAGGUGACUAACAACGUACUGACGCUGAUGGACGAAAGCGUGGGUAGCGAACGGGAUUAGAUACCCCGGUAGUCCACGCCGUAAACGAUGGAUACUAGCUGUCGGGCCUUCGGGCUCGGCGGCCAAGCGAAAGUGAUAAGUAUCCCACCUGGGGAGUACGUUCGCAAGAAUGAAACUCAAAGGAAUUGACGGGGGCCCGCACAAGCGGUGGAGCAUGUGGUUUAAUUCGAUGAUACGCGAGGAACCUUACCAGGGCUUAAAUGUAGUGGGACAGGCUUAGAGAUAGGCUUUUCUUCGGACUCAUUACAAGGUGCUGCAUGGUUGUCGUCAGCUCGUGCCGUGAGGUGUCAGGUUAAGUCCUAUAACGAGCGCAACCCCUACCGUUAGUUGCCAGCGAGUCAAGUCGGGGACUCUAACGGGACUGCCGGUGCAAACCGUGAGGAAGGUGGGGACGACGUCAAAUCAUCACGGCCCUUACGUCCUGGGCCACACACGUGCUACAAUGGCCGGUACAGAGGGAAGCCACCCCGCGAGGGGGAGCGGAUCUAUAAAACCGGUCACAGUUCGGAUCGGGGUCUGCAACUCGACCCCGUGAAGCUGGAAUCGCUAGUAAUCGGAUAUCAGCCAUGAUCCCGUGAAUACGUUCCCGGGCCUUGUACACACCGCCGUCAAGCCAUGGAAGCGGGGAGUGCCUGAAGUCCGUCACCGCAAGGAGCGGCCUAGGGCAAAUCGGUAACUAGGGCUA